rnacentral:lncRNA from 1 species
UAAAGAAAUGCGUUGAAUUUUUUAGUGAAUUAAAGAAAUUUGUUGAAUUAGUUAGUGAAUUAAAGAAAUUCGUUGACUUUGGUAGUGAAUUAAACAAAUGAGUUUAAUUUGUUAGUGAAUUAAAGAAAUGCGUUGAAUUUCUUAGUCAAUUAAAGAAAUUCAUUAAAUUUGUUAGUGAGUUAAAUAAAUUUUUUGAAUUUGUUAGUGAGUUAAAGAAAUGUGUUGAAUUUAUUAAUGAAUUAAAGAAAUUCGUUGAAUUAGUUAGUGAAUCAAAGAAAUGUGUUGAAUUUGUUAGCGAAUUAAAGAAAUUCGUUGAAUUUUUUAGUGAAUUAAAGUAAUGACUUUAAUUUGUUGGUGAAUUAAAGAAAUGCGUUGAAUUUGUUAGUUAAUUAAAGAAAUUCGUUGAAUUUAUUAGUGCGUUAAUGAAAUUCGUUGAAUUUGUUAGUGAGUUAAGGAAAUGCGUUGAAUUUUUUAGUGAAUUAAAGAAAUUCGUUGAAUUAGUUAGUGAAUCAAAGAAAUGUGCUGAAUUUCUUAGCGAAUUUAAGUAAUUCGUUGAAUUUGUUACUGAAUUAAAGAAAUGAGCUUAAUUUGUUGGUGAAUUAAGGAAAUGCGUUGAAUUUGUUAGUCAAUUCAAGAAAUUUGUUGAAUUUGUUAGUGAAUUAAAGAAAUUCGUUGAAUUUGUUAGUGAGUUAAAGAAAUGCGUUGAAUUUUUUAGUGACCUAAAGAAAUUCGUUGAAUUAGUUGGUGAAUCAAAGAAAUGUGUUGAAUUUGUUAGUGAAUUAAAGAAGUUCGUUGAAUUAGUUAGUGAAUUAAAGAAAUGAGUUUAAUUUGUUAGUGAAUUAAAGAAAUGCUUUGAAUUUGUUAGUCAAUUAAAGAAAUUUGUUAAUUUUGUUAGUGAGUUAAAGAAAUUUAUUGAAUUUGUUAGGGAGUUAAAGAAAUGCGUCGAAUUCUUUUGUGAAUUAAAGAAAUUCGUUGAGAUAGUUAGCGAAUUAGAGAAAUGCGUUGAAUUUGUUAGUGAAUUAAAGAAAUGCGUUAAUUUGUUAGUGAAUUAAACAAAUGUGUUGAAUUUGUUAGUGAACUAAAGAAAUUCGAUAUAUUUAUUAGUGAAUUAAAN